UACGUAGGGAGCAAGCGUUGUCCGGAAUCAUUGGGCGUAAAGCGCGCGUAGGUGGCCUCAUAAGUCCGCUGUGAAAGUCAAAGGCUCAACCUUUGAAAGCCGGUGGAUACUGUGAGGCUAGAGUACGGAAGAGGCGAGUGGAAUUCCUGGUGUAGCGGUGGAAUGCGCAGAUAUCAGGAAGAACACCCGUGGCGAAGGCGGCUUUCUGGGACGGUACUGACGCUGAGACGCGAAAGCGUGGGGGAGCGAACAGG
rnacentral:rRNA from 1 species